rnacentral:lncRNA from 1 species
GUCAAGUGGGAGGGAACGCAUGAGUGGUUUGGUUGAAGUUUUUCAUUUCUUCUGUGCUUCUGAUUCCCCCCAAGCUGGCUUGGUUUGCAAGUGGAGACACCAGGAAUGGGUUGUAGUGGGAUGCUCUCGGCGUUGAUCCAGGGAGGACUUUCUGGUCCGAUGAGCCUGGACAUUGAAGUCCUCUGACAGAGAGCCAGAGAUACUUCAGGAGAAGAGAGGGCUUAUCUGGAGAAGAGGAGGCUCAGGGGAGACCUUUUAUCUCUCUACACUACAGCUACCUGAAAGAAGGUUGUGGUGAGGUGAGGGCCAGCCUCUUCUCCCAUGGAACUAGCGAUAGGAUGAGGGGAAAUGGCCUCCAGUUGCACCAGGGGAGGUUCAGUUUGGGAGUUAGGAAACAUUUCUUCUCCAAAAGAGUGGUCAGGCACUGGAAUGGGCUGCCCAAGGAGGUGGUUGAGUCACCGUCCCUGAAGGUGUUCAAGAAACAUCUAGAUGUUGUACUGAGAGACAUGGUUUAGUGGGGAAAUAAUGGCGGUAUGUUGAACUCGAUGGUCUUGGAGGUCUUUUCCAACCUUGGUGAUUCUAUGAUUCAACUUUGCUCUGAGGUGCUCUGUCAGCAGAGCCUUCCUGCCUGUCCUCCAAUGAGUUUGGAGAGAGAGAAGUAUUUACACACUUCUGGAGAAGAAAACUGGAGAGAGAAGUCCGAUGGGGAUAGUGAGGUGGAGACAGACCGAAGAAGUUUUGAGCACAGUCAGGUUUGGCUUUAGAAGGCAAAAGACCCCAGUUCAACAUUCUCCAUUCUGCAUCCAAAGAGGAAAGGAAAACCAUCUUCAUGUGCAGGAGAACAUGAACGCCACAUCACUGGAUUGGAAUAAAU